CAGCCGCCGCGGUAAUACGUAGGUCCCGAGCGUUGUCCGGAUUUAUUGGGCGUAAAGCGAGCGCAGGCGGUUAGAUAAGUCUGAAGUUAAAGGCUGUGGCUUAACCAUAGUACCCUUUGGAAACUGUUUAACUUGAGUGCAGAAGGGGAGAGUGGAAUUCCAUGUGUAGCGGUGAAAUGCGUAGAUAUAUGGAGGAACACCGGUGGCGAAAGCGGCUCUCUGGUCUGUAACUGACGCUGAGGCUCGAAAGCGUGGGGAGCGAACAGGAUUAGAUACCCCGGUAGUCCCUGUCUCUUAUACC
rnacentral:rRNA from 1 species